AUGCAACUUAAGCUCACUUUUAGAAGGAAUUUUGAUGGCAGGCUCAUGGAACAGUGGUAUCAGGUAGUGGAGAUAACUAGCAGCCUGACCCUUACCAAUGAAACUGAUGCCCUUGUCUGGCAGCUAGAGAACAGGGGAGUUUACUCCACUAGCUCACUCUACCAUGUGAUUAAUUUUAGGGGGGUGCAACCAGUCUUCAUCCCCUCGGUGUGGAAGCUAAAAAUUCCACCAAAAGUUCAUGUCUUCCUGUGGCUCCUUGCCAACAACAAACUAAUGACCAGGGAUAACCUCAGGAAAAGACAGAUUAUUAAGCCACUUGAGUGUGUGUUCUGCUCUGAGGCUGAAACAUGCUCGCAUUUGUUUUUGACUGUGUGGUCUCUAGACAGAUCUGGCCUCUGGUCUCAAAUCAUUUCGGGGUGGAUACUGGGACUGAUUUCGAAUCAGUGGCCAGACUCUGGAUUGCUAACAGAAAACACUCCGCCCUCAACACAGCUAACGCUGCUGUACUUUGGUGUAUUUGGAAAUAUAGGAACUCUAUGA
rnacentral:rRNA from 1 species